rnacentral:pre_miRNA from 1 species
UGUUAAAAAUUUCAUCUAUUUGUACUUUUUAAAAUUUAUGUAAUUGAUAAAAUAAUUAGACAAUAACUUAUGACAUUGUGUACUUUAUGCUGACAUGAUAGAACCAGUUUUUAAGAGCAGAAAUAGAUUGCAUUUUUAACA